CCUACGGGAGGCAGCAGUGAGGAAUAUUGGACAAUGGGCGCAAGCCUGAUCCAGCCAUGCCGCGUGCAGGAAGACGGUCCUAUGGAUUGUAAACUGCUUUUGUACAGGAAGAGACACUCCCUCGUGAGGGAGCUUGACGGUACUGUAAGAAUAAGGAUCGGCUAACUCCGUGCCAGCAGCCGCGGUAAUACGGAGGAUCCAAGCGUUAUCCGGAAUCAUUGGGUUUAAAGGUCCGUAGGCGGUUUAAUAGUCAGUGGUGAAAUCUGGUCGCUCAACGAUCAAACGGCCAUUGAUACUGUUAGACUUGAAUUAUUAGGAAGUAACUAGAAUAUGUAGUGUAGCGGUGAAAUGCUUAGAUAUUACAUGGAAUACCAAUUGCGAAGGCAGGUUACUACUAAUGGAUUGACGCUGAUGGACGAAAGCGUGGGAGCGAACAGGAUUAGAUACCCUGGUAGUCCACGCCGUAAACGGAUGAUACUAGCUGUCGGAG
rnacentral:rRNA from 1 species